UAAGCUACUGCUUCAUAUGCCUACUGCUGA
rnacentral:piRNA from 1 species